AUUUUUUUUCCUGAAAUUUAUGAAUUAUGCAAUAUCAAUCACUGUAGAACAUUAAUAAUUUCUUACAAAAAUUUGAUGAACUGUUGUUCGGAUUAUUCAGCAAUCAAAACUAACAAACAUAUCUGGAUCUGAAAGCAAGAUUGCAGAGAGAGAUACAGUAAGAACAGCAAACUGGUUGUACGAUCUCUUCCUCUAAAGCCAUACAUAGGAUUAUCGUUACCAUGUUUCUUAGGCGAGCUGCAGUGGCAUUACCUUACUCAAGAAGCGUUAUCUAUGCUAGAAGCACCCAUGAUCUUGCAAGUACUAUCAAUGAGAUGAAUCAAGAAAUGGAAUCUGUCUUUGGAGAACCUCCUACUGGUGGUCUAUCUGGUUCGGUCAGUAAUGAUCUAAUGCAAGAACAACCACUUAUCGAUGCUCAUCGACCUGCUAAUUCUCAAGAAUCCCGGUCUGUAUCCCACACGAUAAAUCAAAAUGCAGUCGGGUUGACACAUGUUGGCAAUUCAGGAGAAGCCCAAAUGGUGGAUGUGUCUUCCAAAGAUAAUACCAAGAGAACUGCUAUUGCUAGUUGCAAGGUUAUGUUGGGUAAGAAGGUGUUUGAUAUGGUUUUAGCUAAUCAAAUGGCGAAAGGAGACGUUCUUUCUGUGGCCAAAAUAGCUGGGAUAAAUGGAGGAAAGCAGACCAGCAGCCUCAUCCCACUUUGUCAUAAUAUCAUCUUGACUCAUGUUCGUGUGGAUUUAAAGCUGAAUCCGGAUAAUUAUAGUGUUGAAAUUGAAGGGGAGGCUUCAUCUACGGGGAAAACGGGCGUUGAAAUGGAAGCAUUGACGGCUGUUUCCACUGCCGGGCUAACAGUAUAUGAUAUGUGCAAGGCUGCUUCUAAGGAUAUCCAGAUAACAGACAUACGGCUCGACUGUAAGACUGGUGGGAAGAGCGGGGACUGGUUUCGACGCAUGACUGGGUGAUUCUUUGAAAAAUCUUAUCUAUCGGUGCGAGGGGGUCGUAAUGGUGUCAUUGAGAGAAAAGUAUAAUGCAAAUGCUGCACUUGCAAGUUGCAAUUCAUAAUAGUUUUUGUUUUUCUCCUUUGGAAGUCUAGCAUGACUGUUCUCCUUUCUUCUUUGAAUCACCUAGCCAAAAAAACCUCCUAUUGUCCCGCCCCAUCGUUCUGGUCUUCUGGGUUGUUCCAAUAACCACAGGUACACCUUUAUUUCUUUGUGAAAAAUACUCUUAUUUGAUAGAGUUUGUUAAUGGUGCAUUGAAUUUUGUUCCUUUAAAUUCAAUUGAGAUUGGAAUUUAGGUACAACCAGACUUUAGAUCGGCCACUCUAAGCAGUAAAUACAAUUUAUGAUCUCUGAACUUAUUUAACCAUUACUAGUAUAGGGUACAUCUAGCCAGUCCUAAAUUGGAGCCUUAUAGCUGGUACCAAGGCACCACAACCAUCAAAUUAAUGGUCGAGAAUAUCAAACCAAGGACCCUCCCAAACAAAAAAUUCUCGUGGGAACCU